AUGGAAUUGGUUCAAUCAGGAAAAAAUGGCAUCAAGGGAAGCUCCAGGAACAAACUGGAAAUCAGGACAUGUUUGGAUGGAAGAGAAGCAAAGUGCAACCGUCCGUCUGCCUCAUUCUCUGUUUGCCCUCUUCUUCUGUCUCAGCAGAUGACCUUGCUGCCCAGACACCGUGGACAUUUAGGUCUCAGUUUACUGACCACUGGAAGGUGCGUCUUUUACUCCCCCUGGAGGAGACCAAAAACUGCCUCAGUUUCUAGGACAUCCCACAUGGAGGAGACCCAGUGAAAGCUGGCAGAAAGUGGCAGGGCCAUGGAGUGACUCCCCCCCAGCCAUCUCUGCUUCCCGGUGCAAUUUAAGGUAGAUGAAUGGUUCACUCUGGGCUCCAGGCCAAAGAACUGGCCCCGGGGGGAAAUCAUUCUCACACCCACGCUUGAUGCACAUACACCCUGCAACUCUCCUUCCUGCCCAGCAGCCCCCCAGAUGGAAUCCUUAUACUCGAGGAAGCAGUGGGUCUUUCAUUGCCGUCUCUGGGCUACAAGAAUCAAAGAGCAAAAUGGAUGUUUUCCUCUGAGAACUGGCACUGAACAGAAGGAAGGAAACGACUUCUCCAAUUCAAGCAUGUUUUAAUCUCUGGAGAAGUGGGGACUGGGGAGGGGCAGAAUUGGCUGAGGAAUCAGUGGGAAAGUCAUAAAUUUUGUCUCUUAUCCCGGUAACUAAGAUUCUUCCUUUACAGUGCCGCCCACUCCUUCUUCUUUUUUUCAAAGAGUUUGGAUAAUGAACAAUCACUUUCUAAAUUCUCAAGUUCAAAAAUCUCUCAGUGGAGGAAAAACCGGGAGGUUUUGAGUAAAUCUCCAAAGGCCGGACGGAUCCUUUAUAAACAUGCUCAGAAAUUUCAAGAUUCACAAACACCUCAUGAAUAUACUGUCCUAACCUGAUCUAAAGACUCUGGCACCAAAACAGGUCAACAAUUCUUUACUUCUUAUCUUUAGUACUUUAAAUAUUUUAAAAGGUCAACUCAUAUUCUUUCUUUCUUUUUUUUUUUAAUUUUUUUUUUAACGUUUAUUUAUUUUUGAGACAGAGAGAGACAGAGCAUGAACGGGGGAGGGUCAGAGAGAGGGAGACACAGAAUCCGAAGCAGGCUCCAGGCUCUGAGCUGUCAGCACAGAGCCCGACGCGGGGCUCGAACUCACGGACCGUGAGAUCAUGACCUGAGCCGAAGUCGGCCGCUUAACCGACCAAGCCACCCAGGCGCCCCACUUUUGUUCUUUUUAAGACCAUUGUUCAAAGAUAGAGUGAACGGUAAAUACCGUUGAGGUCCGCUUUUAAACACAAUGACUCAGUUUGCCCUGAACCUAAUUCUGAGGACACAGUUAGACAAAUCCAGAUGGACCAAGUGGCAUGGACUUAACAAAAUGUCAAGGUCCUGAAAAAAUUAAAAAAAAAAAAAAAAAGUGGUGCCGGUGGGCUGUUCUGGAAUAAAGGAGAU
rnacentral:lncRNA from 1 species